UGCAUACAGGAGAAGCACAAGUGUCU
rnacentral:piRNA from 1 species